rnacentral:misc_RNA from 1 species
GUCUCCGUUGGUGAACCAGCGGAGGGAUCAUUACAGAGUUGCAAAACUCCCAAACCAUUGUGAACGUUACCUAUCCCGUUGCUUCGGCGGGCGGCCCGGGCCCCGCGCCCGGCGCCCCCCGGCCCCCCGUGGGCGCCCGCCGGAGGUAAACCAAACCCUUGAAUUGCAUGGCCUCUCUGAGUCUUCUGUACUGAAUAAGUCAAAACUUUCAACAACGGAUCUCUUGGUUCUG